GCGUUAAGUAGACCGCCUGGGGAGUACGGUCGCAAGAUUAAAACUCAAAUGAAUUGACGGGGGCCCGCACAAGCGGUGGAGCAUGUGGUUUAAUUCGAUGCAACGCGAAGAACCUUACCUACUCUUGACAUCCAGAGAACUUAGCAGAGAUGCUUUGGUGCCUUCGGGAACUCUGAGACAGGUGCUGCAUGGCUGUCGUCAGCUCGUGUUGUGAAAUGUUGGGUUAAGUCCCGCAACGAGCGCAACCCUUCUCCUUGUUUGCCAGCACUUCGGGUGGGAACUCCAGGGAGACUGCCGGUGAUAAACCGGAGGAAGGUGGGGACGACGUCAAGUCAUCAUGGCCCUUACGAGUAGGGCUACACACGUGCUACAAUGGCGUAUACAGAGGGCUGCCAACUCGCGAGAGUGAGCGAAUCCCAUAAAGUACGUCGUAGUCCGGAUUGGAGUCUGCAACUCGACUCCAUGAAGUCGGAAUCGCUAGUAAUCGUGAAUCAGAAUGUCACGGUGAAUACGUUCCCGGGCCUUGUACACACCGCCCGUCACACCAUGGGAGUGGGCUGCACCAGAAGUAGAUAG
rnacentral:rRNA from 1 species